AUUCCCCCAGUAGCGGCGAGCGAACGGGGAGCAGCCCAGAGUCUGAAUCAGCUUGUGUGUUAGUGGAACGGUCUGGAAAGUCCGACGGUACAGGGUGAUAGUCCCGUACACCAAAAUGCACAGGUUGUGAACUCGAAGAGUAGGGCGGGACACGUGGUAUCCUGUCUGAAUAUGGGGGGACCAUCCUCCAAGGCUAAAUACUCCUGACUGACCGAUAGUGAACCAGUACCGUGAGGGAAAGGCGAAAAGAACCCCGGCGAGGGGAGUGAAAAAGAACCUGAAACCGUGUACGUACAAGCAGUGGGAGCACCUUCGGGUGUGACUGCGUACCUUUUGUAUAAUGGGUCAGCGACUUAUAUUCUGUAGCAAGGUUAACCGUAUAGGGGAGCCGCAGGGAAACCGAGUCUUAACUGGGCGUUAAGUUGCAGGGUAUAGACCC
rnacentral:rRNA from 1 species